AUUUGUAUUUACAUGAAAUCACUUUUUCCCCAGAAGGAGGAAGAAGAGAGGAGGAGGAGAAGGGAAGAAAGAGGGGAAGAAAGAGGGAAAACAAUACUAUGCGUAAGGAGAAAAAGCAGGAGAAGACCUUCGAGAGAUGAGCAAGAGGAACAGAGGAAGAGGAGGAAG